rnacentral:lncRNA from 1 species
AAAAAAUCCGAACAUUAUUACGAUUUACACAAAUCAAAAUAACAUUAAAAAUUGAAUUUUUAAUGCAAAAUUUUUCCCGAUUAAAAUCGUAGAACAACGUAGAGGAAAUAUACCGUUCUAUCCUAAAUAUUACAUAAUAUAUUAAAUGAAACUAGAAGAGUAAAUCUAAGUUUCCUACACGUCCCCAGCUAGAAUGAUCCAUUUUGUCCAAAACCUAAUCAAUUCCCUUACCUUUUUUGGUGAUUCUAGUACCGAAUAAGGGAAGAAAAUUGUAUUCUUUUUUCACUCCGCGGCAUUAAUAGCAGAAAAUUUCUCCAUCACAAGAUGCUUGCAAUCCAAGUUUUAGCCAUUUUCUUUCACAUUAGUCAAGUCGGCGGAGCGAAGAGGCGGUGGUUGGCGGAGCUGGAGGAUUGGAGGAAGGGUUGAAUUGAAAUGAAAAUUGAAUUUGAA